UACGUAGGGGGCAAGCGUUGUCCGGAAUUAUUGGGCGUAAAGAGCUCGUAGGCGGUGUGUCGCGUCGGCCGUGAAAACCUGGGGCUCAACUCCGGGCGUGCGGUCGAUACGGGCAUCACUAGAGUUCGGCAGGGGAGACUGGAAUUCCUGGUGUAGCGGUGAAAUGCGCAGAUAUCAGGAGGGACACCGGUGGCGAAGGCGGGUCUCUGGGCCGAUACUGACGCUGAGGAGCGAAAGCAUGGGUAGCGAACAGG
rnacentral:rRNA from 1 species